rnacentral:rRNA from 1 species
CAGCCGCCGCGGGAAUACGGAGGGCGCGAGCGUUACCCGGAUUUACUGGGCGUAAAGGGCGUGUAGGCGGCCUGGGGCGUCCCAUGUGAAAGGCCACGGCUCAACCGUGGAGGAGCGUGGGAUACGCUCAGGCUAGAGGGUGGGAGAGGGUGGUGGAAUUCCCGGAGUAGCGGUGAAAUGCGCAGAUACCGGGAGGAACGCCGAUGGCGAAGGCAGCCACCUGGUCCACUUCUGACGCUGAGGCGCGAAAGCGCGGGGAGCAAACCGGAUUAGAUACCCCUGUAGUCCCUGUCUCUUAUAC